UAGGGAAUCUUCGGCAAUGGACGAAAGUCUGACCGAGCAACGCCGCGUGAGUGAAGAAGGUUUUCGGAUCGUAAAACUCUGUUGUUAGAGAAGAACAAGGACGUUAGUAACUGAACGUCCCCUGACGGUAUCUAACCAGAAAGCCACGGCUAACUACGUGCCAGCAGCCGCGGUAAUACGUAGGUGGCAAGCGUUGUCCGGAUUUAUUGGGCGUAAAGCGAGCGCAGGCGGUUUCUUAAGUCUGAUGUGAAAGCCCCCGGCUCAACCGGGGAGGGUCAUUGGAAAAUGUGAGACUUGAGUGCAGAAGAGGAGAGUGGAAUUCCAUGUGUAGCGGUGAAAUGCGUAGAUAUAUGGAGGAACACCAGUGGCGAAGGCGGCUCUCUGGUCUGUAACUGACGCUGAGGCUCGAAAGCGUGGGGAGCAAACAGG
rnacentral:rRNA from 1 species